UACGUAGGGGGCAAGCGUUGUCCGGAUUUAUUGGGCGUAAAGAGCGUGUAGGCGGCCAGGUAGGUCAGCUGUGAAAACUCGAGGCUUAACCUCGAGACGCCGGCUGAAACCCUCUGGCUAGAGUCCGGAAGAGGAGAGCGGAAUUCCUGGUGUAGCGGUGAAAUGCGCAGAUAUCAGGAGGAACACCAAUGGCGAAGGCAGCUCGCUGGGACGGUACUGACGCUGAGGCGCGAAAGCGUGGGGAGCGAACAGG
rnacentral:rRNA from 1 species